rnacentral:rRNA from 1 species
GACGAACGCUGGCGGCGUGCCUAAUACAUGCAAGUCGAACGCAGUGGGGAUGGGUGAGUAACAAGUGGGUAACCUCCCAUCAGAGGGGAUAACACUUGGAUACAGGUGCUAAACCGAUACUGGUGGCUGGUCCCGCGGGGCAUUAGCUAGUUGGUGGGGUAACGGCUCACCAAGGCCACGAUGCAUAGCCGCCCUGAGAGGGUGAACGGCCACACUGGAACGGAGACACGGCCCAGACUCCUACGGGAGGCAGCAGUAGGGAAUCUUCGGCAAUGGACGAAAGCCUGACCGAGCAAUGCCGCGUGAGUGAAGAAGGUUUUCGGAUCGUAAAACUCUGUUAUUAGAGAGGCGGUAUCUAACCAGAAAGCCACGGCUAACUACGUGCCAGCAGCCGCGGUAAUAC